CUGGGGAUAUUGGACAUGGGCGAAAGCCUGAUCCAGCAAUACCGCGUGUGUGAAGAAGGCCUGAGGGUUGUAAAGCACUUUCAAUAGGAAGGAAUACCUGCCGGUUAAUACCCGGUAGACUGACAUUACCUAUACAAGCAAGCACCGGCUAACUCCGUG
rnacentral:rRNA from 1 species